UACGUAGGGGGCUAGCGUUGUCCGGAUUUAUUGGGCGUAAAGAGCGUGUAGGCGGCCAUGUAGGUCCGGUGUGAAAACUCGAGGCUUAACCUCGAGAUGUCAUCGGAAACCAUUUGGCUAGAGUCCGGAAGAGGAGAGUGGAAUUCCUGGUGUAGCGGUGAAAUGCGCAGAUAUCAGGAGGAACACCAAUGGCGAAGGCAGAUCUCUGGGCCGUAACUGACGCUGAGGAGCGAAAGCGUGGGGAGCGAACAGG
rnacentral:rRNA from 1 species